GAAAGUCCCCCUCGGGGGACAAGUAGAGUGGCGCACGGGUGAGUAACACGUAUGUGAUCUACCUUCGGAUGGGGAAUAACAACCGGAAACGGUUGCUAAUACCGCAUAAUGCAGCGGCACCUAAUGGUGACAGUUGUUAAAGCGGGGGAUCGAAAGACCUCGCGUCUGAAGAGGAGCCUGCGGCGGAUUAGCUAGUUGGUAAGGUAACGGCUUACCAAGGCUUCGAUCCGUAGCCGGCCUGAGAGGGCGGUCGGCCACACUGACACUGACAUACGGGUCAGACUCCUACGGGAGGCAGCAGUCGGGAAUUUUGGGCAAUGGGCGAAAGCCUGACCCAGCAACGCCGCGUGAAGGAUGAAAUCCCUCGGGAUGUAAACUUCGCAAGAACGGGAAGAAUAAGUAGGGGACAAUACCCCCUAUGAUGACGGUACCGUUUGUAAGCUCCGGCUAACUCCGUGCCAGCAGCCGCGGUAAUACGGGGGGAGCAAGCGUUGUUCGGAUUUACUGGGCGUAAAGGGCGCGUAGGCGGCCUCCGCAAGUCAAUUGUGAAAUCUCCGGGCUUAACUCGGAAAGGUCAACUGAUACUGCGGGGCUAGAGUGCGGAAGGGGCAACUGGAAUUCUUGGUGUAGCGGUGAAAUGCGUAGAUAUCAAGAGGAACACCUGCGGCGAAGGCGGGUUGCUGGGCCGACACUGACGCUGAGGCGCGAAAGCUAGGGGAGCGAACGGGAUUAGAUACCCCGGUAGUCCUAGCCUUAAACGAUGAAUGCUUGGUGUC
rnacentral:rRNA from 1 species